AAAGAAUAAAGGUUGAUUUAAAAACUAUCCAUUCUUAGGAAGUUAGAGAAGAGGGCAUAACGUUUUAAUAGGUGAAUUACUACAACUCUUCAAAUCAAAAUGAAAUACUUUUUAAUUCUGUGUCUUAUCCUCGGCUUGACUAUUGUCAACGCCACUGAAGAAA